GCCUGGCUGGCUCAGUUGGUGGAGCAUAUGACUCUUGAUCUUGGGGUUUUGAGUUCAAGCCCCAUGUUGGGUG
rnacentral:tRNA from 1 species